rnacentral:snoRNA from 1 species
GAUGGCAGUGACGACUUGGUAAUAUUCAAGCUCAACAGACCAAAUUACAGGUCUAUCUCUACACAGGGAUUGAUUUGUAUGCCGAUUUUCCCGCUGAACCGAGCCAUC